rnacentral:rRNA from 1 species
UUAAGCAUAUUAAUUAGGGGAGGAAAAGAAACUAACAAGGAUUUUCUUAGUAGCGGCGAGCGAAAAGAAAUCAGUUCAGCACUAAGUCACUUUGUCUAUAUGGCAAAUGUGAGAUGCAGUGUAUGGAGCGUCAAUAUUCUAGUAUGAGAAAUUAACGAUUUAAGUCCUUCUUAAAUGAGGCCAUUUACCCAUAGAGGGUGCCAGGCCCGUAUAACGUUAAUGAUUACUAGAUGAUGUUUCCAAAGAGUCGUGUUGCUUGAUAGUGCAGCACUAAGUGGGUGGUAAACUCCAUCUAAAACUAAAUAUAACCAUGAGACCGAUAGUAAACAAGUACCGUGAGGGAAAGUUGAAAAGAACUCUGAAUAGAGAGUUAAAUAGUACGUGAAACUGCUUAGAGGUUAAGCCCGAUGAACCUGAAUAUCCGUUAUGGAAAAUUCAUCAUUAAAGUUAUAAUAUUUAAACAAUAUUAUACAAAUAAUGUGCAUUUUUUCCAUAUAAGGACAUUGUAAUCUAUUAACAUAUUAAAUUUAUCAUAAAAUAUGGCUUAUAGUUUAUUCAAAUUAUUAUGCUUGCAUUUUAACAUAGAAUAAAUGUCAUUAAUUUGAUAAAGUGUUGAUAGACUAAUAAGAAUACAGUGCGUUAAUUUUUCGGAAUUAUAUAAUGGCAUAAUUAUCAUUGAUUUUUGUGUUUAUUAUAAGCACUUGUAUGAUUAACAAUGCGAAAGAUUCAGGAUACCUUCGGGACCCGUCUUGAAACACGGACCAAGGAGUCUAACAUAUGUGCAAGUUAUUGGGAUAUAAACCUAAUAGCGUAAUUAACUUGACUAAUAAUGGGAUUAGUUUUUUAACUAUUUUAUAGCUAAUUAACACAAUCCCGGGGCGUUCUAUAUAGUUAUGUAUAAUAAUAUUUAUAUUAUUUAUGCCUCUAACUGGAACGUACCUUGAGCAGAUAUGCUGUGACCCGAAAGAUGGUGAACUAUACUUGAUCAGGUUGAAGUCAGGGGAAACCCUGAUGGAAGACCGAAACAGUUCUGACGUGCAAAUCGAUUGUCAGAAUUGAGUAUAGGGGCGAAAGACCAAUCGAACCAUCUAGUAGCUGGUUCCUUCCGAAGUUUCCCUCAGGAUAGCUGGUGCAUUUUAAUGUUAUAUAAAAUAAUCUUAUCUGGUAAAGCGAAUGAUUAGAGGCCUUAGGGUCGAAACGAUCUUAACCUAUUCUCAAACUUUAAAUGGGUAAGAACCUUAACUUUCUUGAUAUGAAGUUUAAGGUUAUGAUAUAUUGUGCCCAGUGGGCCACUUUUGGUAAGCAGAACUGGCGCUGUGGGAUGAACCAAACGUAAUGUUACGGUGCCCAAAUUAACAACUCAUGCAGAAACCAUGAAAGGCGUUGGUUGCUUAAAACAGCAGGACGGUGAUCAUGGAAGUCGAAAUCCGCUAAGGAGUGUGUAACAACUCACCUGCCGAAGCAACUAGCCCUUAAAAUGGAUGGCGCUUAAGUUGUAUACCUAUACAUUACCGCUAAAGUAGAUGAUUUAUAUUACUUGUAAUAUAAAUUUUGAAACUUUAGUGAGUAGGAAGGUACAAUGGUAUGCGUAGAAGUGUUUGGCGUAAGCCUGCAUGGAGCUGCUAUUGGUACAGAUCUUGGUGGUAGUAGCAAAUAAUCGAAUGAGACCUUGGAGGACUGAAGUGGAGAAGGGUUUCGUGUGAACAGUGGUUGAUCACGAGUUAGUCGGUCCUAAGUUCAAGGCGAAAGCCGAAAAUUUUCAAGUAAAAAUAAAAUUUACUAUAUGUAAAAAUUAUAUACUUGAAUAAUUUUGAACGAAAGGGAAUACGGUUCCAAUUCCGUAACCUGUUGAGUAUCCGUUUGUUAUUAAAUAUGGGCCUCGUGCUCAUCCUGGCAACAGGAACGACCAUAAAGAAGCCGUCGAGAGAUAUCGGAAGAGUUUUCUUUUCUGUUUUAUAGUCGUACUACCAUGGAAGUCUUUCGCAGAGAGAUAUGGUAGAUGGGCUAGAAGAGCAUGACAUAUACUGUUGUGUCGAUAUUUUCUCCUCGGACCUUGAAAAUUUAUGGUGGGGAUACGCAAACUUCUCAACAGGCCGUACCAAUAUCCGCAGCUGGUCUCCAAGGUGAAGAGUCUCUAGUCGAUAGAAUAAUGUAGGUAAGGGAAGUCGGCAAAUUAGAUCCGUAACUUCGGGAUAAGGAUUGGCUCUGAAGAUUGAGAUAGUCGGGCUUGAUUGGGAAACAAUAAUAUGGUUUAUGUGCUCGUUCUGGGUAAAUAGAGUUUCGAUCAUUUAUGGUUGUAACUUGUUCCCCGGAUAGUUAGUUACGUAUCCAAUUGUGGAACUUUCUUGCUAAAAUUUUUAAGAAUACUAGUUGGGUCAAACCAAUUAGUUCUUAUUAAUUAUAACGAUUAUCAAUUAACAAUCAAUUCAGAACUGGCACGGACUUGGGGAAUCCGACUGUCUAAUUAAAACAAAGCAUUGUGAUGGCCCUAGCGGGUGUUGACACAAUGUGAUUUCUGCCCAGUGCUCUGAAUGUCAAAGUGAAGAAAUUCAAGUAAGCGCGGGUCAACGGCGGGAGUAACUAUGACUCUCUUAAGGGAAUAUGGAGAAUAUGGAUUUGAUUGUGCAGAGGGGGUGCUAUACCGUAACUCGUAAGCCAUGCAAUCAGAUCAAGUCGACUCAAAACCUCCUCGUGGUAUUCUCUGGGUGCCAGUAUUUACUGGUAGCUGAUUUGAGCGGCGAAAGGAUCCUUGGGGUUACCGGCCCCCUGGAACCUUAAAACAAAUUGGUGCAACUGAAAAUAACGAGCCUCGGAACCUAAAUCGUUUUGUAAGAGGAGAAUCCACGGCUUCCAGCCUGGAGAGCACACAAUUUGGAACCAGUGCAGAGGUUAACCUUGCAGGGAGGGUGCCCUGUACGAUAUGUGAAAUGACGUUCAGCUCCAAGAGGGGUUUGGGCGUUCACAUGUCACAUCGGCACAAAGACGAUCUUGAUGCACAACGUCUUCGUGUCGAUAAAAAGGCAAGGUGGUCAGAGGAAGAAACCUUGAUGAUGGCGAGAAAGGAGGUUGAGCUUGCAGCAAGUGGUGUACGAUUUCUUAAUAAGAAGCUAGCGGAGAUUUU